UACGUAGGGACCAAGCGUUGUUCGGAUUUACUGGGCGUAAAGGGCGCGUAGGCGGCAAUUCAAGUCAUCUGUGAAAUCUCCGGGCUUAACCCGGAACGGUCAGGUGAUACUGUUUUGCUAGAGUGCGGAAGGGGCAAUCGGAAUUCUCGGUGUAGCGGUGAAAUGCGUAGAUAUCGAGAGGAACACCAGAUGUGAAGACGGGUUGCUGGGCCGACACUGACGCUGACAGCGCGAAAGCCAGGGGAGCAAACGGG
rnacentral:rRNA from 1 species